rnacentral:rRNA from 1 species
UACAGAGGUCCCAAGCGUUGUUCGGAUUCAUUGGGCGUAAAGGGUGUGUAGGUGGCGCCGUAAGUCGGGUGUGAAAUUUCGGAGCUUAACUCCGAAACUGCAUUCGAUACUGCGGUGCUUGAGGACGGUAGAGGGGGGUAGAAUUGCUGGUGUAGCGGUGAAAUGCGUAGAGAUCAGCAGGAAUACCCGUGGCGAAGGCGGCCCCCUGGGCCGAACCUGACGCUGAUGCGCGAAAGCCAGGGGAGCGAACGGG